rnacentral:tRNA from 1 species
GGCUGGUGCCCUAGUGAGGAACAUGGACUGAGAAUCCACGUGUCGGCGGUUCGAUUCCGCCCCAAGCCA